GCUGCUCCCCAUGUUACCCCUUUCAUCUCAAAGGAAUUCACUGCCACCCAACCAGGGAGGGCCACGCUGGCAGAGGCAACGCUGGCCCAAUCCUUCUCAAACCAAGGAUGGAGAUAAAGGAUGCCCUGCAACAUCGGUGCCUAUGAAAAGUUUGCGCUGCCCGGUGCCCAUCUGGAAAAAGUCAGUGCUUGCUUUGUAACAAACAAGGUGUGCCAUCUUAUGGAAGUUGAUGACCACCACUUACUGAUACAGAAACUCAAGGCCGUCUCUUCCAUGUCUUAAGAAGAAAUAUAUGGGUUUUUAAAAAUCACUCGUAAUUAAUCGUACCAGCUUUCUUUCCACCCACAGAGCCAACAUGCACCAUGAAUGGACCUGGCUAUAACGCCUUUUCUCCUCGUAAGGACAGCCAACACACAGCAUGUUGUGAUGAAGGGAGAAAAAAAAAUUAAUAUGCAUUUAGCCAGAUGCAAAGUAAG